GUUUGAUCAUGGCUCAGGACGAACGCUGGCGGCGUGCUUAACACAUGCAAGUCGAACGGAGAACUUAUUUCGGUAAGUUCUUAGUGGCGAACGGGUGAGUAACGCGUGGGCAACCUGCCCUCCAGUUGGGGACAACAUUCCGAAAGGGAUGCUAAUACCGAAUGUGCUCCCUCCUCCGCAUGGAGGAGGGAGGAAAGAUGGCCUCUGCUUGCAAGCUAUCGCUGGAAGAUGGGCCCGCGUCUGAUUAGCUAGUUGGUGGGGUAACGGCUCACCAAGGCGAUGAUCAGUAGCCGGUCUGAGAGGAUGAACGGCCACAUUGGGACUGAGACACGGCCCAAACUCCUACGGGAGGCAGCAGUGGGGAAUCUUCCGCAAUGGACGAAAGUCUGACGGAGCAACGCCGCGUGAGUGAUGAAGGUCUUCGGAUUGUAAAACUCUGUUGUUAGGGACGAAAGCACCGUGUUCGAACAGGUCAUGGUGUUGACGGUACCUAACGAGGAAGCCACGGCUAACUACGUGCCAGCAGCCGCGGUAAUACGUAGGUGGCAAGCGUUGUCCGGAAUUAUUGGGCGUAAAGAGCAUGUAGGCGGGCUUUUAAGUCUGACGUGAAAAUGCGGGGCUUAACCCCGUAUGGCGUUGGAUACUGGAAGUCUGAG
rnacentral:rRNA from 1 species